rnacentral:lncRNA from 1 species
GGUGCUGCAGGUCGGCUGGCUUUGCGCUGCAGGUCGGCUGGCUCGGUGCUGCAGGUCGGCUGGCUCGGCGCUGCAGGUCGGCUGGCCUGGUGCUGCAGGUCGGCUGGCCCGGUGCUGCAGGUCGGCUGGCUUUGCGCUGCAGGUCGGCUGGCUCGGUGCUGCAGGUCGGCUGGCCUGGUGCUGCAGGUCGGCUGGCUUUGCGCUGCAGGUCGGCUGGCUCGGAGCUGCAGGUCGGCUGGCUCGGAGCUGCAGGUCGGCCACUGUGUGGAUCUGGUGAUAACACCCUUUCAUUGUCGGAUAAAGCUGUCCUAAAGUUGUACGAGUAAUCGAGAGUAGCUAUUGAUACAGUUGUCCCAUUAUGGCUGUGGAACAACUCAGGUCCUGGCAGCAUGACAUUGCAGAGCGGUGCACUCACCUAACCGAAAGUAUUUUUGACAGAUACACGGACGAGGACGAGGCCCUAGACACAACAGAUAUGAUGGAAAUACAAAACCAUGUGCAUCGCCUACGGGCCCUAGUCGAAUACAGCUUGCAGGAUGAGGUGCGAGCCAAAGUGUUACUGUCAGCGGUCCGUGACACUGGUCCCUACUUGUACGAGGACUUGUCGGACCUGGGACCAAGGGGGAAGACAGAACGAAAACUGACACAGUUCAAGUUAACCCAUGCAGCCGAGCGCGCGCUCGGCUCCACGCUGCCCACGUUCCAUCGUGCCGUCAGAGACGGCAGCUUCCUGGACAACAUCACGAGGGUCGAUGCGGCUGUCGACAUCAUGGUUCAGGAAGAGCUGAUCUUACCCGAUGAACAAUAUAUGCUAUAUCACAUAAAUAAAACCACUGCGGGGAAGGUGCGUGCGAUCAGAUGCCUCUUUAGAUGCCCUACGGUACCCGACGAGGCCAAGGCCAGCAUCGCGCUGAUUCUGGCCGUGUACAACUUACACGCCUUCGGUAUCUUCACCAACGACCCCGACAGUUUGUUGGAGACUGUGUAGAUUCCCUCAGUGGGGGCUUCGGUUGUGUAGCCAUGUGGUAUACCCAUUAUAUGUGUCUAUAAAGCAUGAUGUUUGAUUGCCUGUAUUUCACAAUAAACAAAACACCAU